CAGCCGCCGCGGUAAUACGAAGGGGGCUAGCGUUGUUCGGAUUUACUGGGCGUAAAGCGCACGUAGGCGGACUUUUAAGUCAGGGGUGAAAUCCCGGGGCUCAACCCCGGAACUGCCUUUGAUACUGGAAGUCUUGAGUAUGGUAGAGGUGAGUGGAAUUCCGAGUGUAGAGGUGAAAUUCGUAGAUAUUCGGAGGAACACCAGUGGCGAAGGCGGCUCACUGGACCAUUACUGACGCUGAGGUGCGAAAGCGUGGGGAGCAAACAGGAUUAGAUACCCCCGUAGUCCCUGUCUCUUAUAC
rnacentral:rRNA from 1 species